UUGCUUUAUACGGUACGGUUAAUGUGCCACAGAUGGUGGCUAUGAUGUUCAACAAUAUGAUACCCAAAGUUAUAGACAGCUAUUAACAGUUUGAAUGUCCCAUACCAAACUUUAACCUUAUAUUUUAGUUUGCACACAUUGUCAAAGUAUAUGAACAUGAACAUUCGUAAUAAAUGGUUGCAAUAAUCAAUCACACUAUAUCAAACGGUUGGUAAUUAUGCUAGCGCAACACACUAACACCGUCAUAUUUCACAGUGCAUAACACCUUCUUAACAGCAUGGCAAACAGUUGCUCCUAUUCGUAUUUGUGAACAACAUGAUUGGAGAAGCAUCAUUUAAUUUCUUUGCAAGCUUUGAAAACAAAACAUUCCGUCUUCGUCGUCGCGGGAAAACCGUCACCGGGAAAACUAAUUGGUCACUUUCUGGUGACCGGAAUCUGGUCUGCUGAGCCUAGGACUGCAGUGUUCAUCGUUUAACCAACAUCCUCGAGAUCGCUUCUUGGAUUGACCAUCGGGCAUUUGGAAGGUCGGUGCGGAAGAAGCUGCUUGAAUGCUUGAAUGGACCUUGAAUGGUUACCGCAGUUUCGAUGCUAAAUCGUGCGAAGCAAGUUAAAAGUCUCCUGCCCUCCCCGGGCACCUCAAGUCCAACCCAUCGCAUGUCGUUCCGGCAGAGUCUAUCCGCGAAGAAUUCCACCUCAGCAUCCAACGCAUGCCGGCCGAUUAUCCACUUUCAUUCCGCCAAUUGCAAUCUUUCCAUUGAUGCACACCGUGGAGAAUGAAUUCGUUUCUGAUGUCGGAAAUGAUCGAUAACAACUUCAAGUGUGUGAGCGCAUUGGUGGCGUAUCCUUAUACCGCAGUGGAAUUCCUCUUCAAGAGAUACUAUUUAUGUGUGAAUGUGAUUUUAGAAAUCUGGAAGUCUGGUAGGAACGACGCAAAUUUCUUUCUUUUUUAUAAAAAAUACUCUAAUUAGUUCUACGAAGUUUUAAUUAAUAAAGCUGCAUGCAUAAGAAAUAUUCA